CGCGUUAAACGUGCCGCCUGGGAAGUGCGGUCGCGAGAUUAAAACUCAAAGAAAUUGACGGGGACCGCACAAGCGGUGGAGUAUGUGGCUUAAUUCGAUGCAACGCGAAGAACCUUACCUGGGCUUGACNUGCACUGUGUCGUCGGUGAAAGCCGGCUAGUGUAGCAAUAGCGCUNNGCACAGGUGCUGCAUGGCUGUCGUCAGCUCGUGUCGUGAGAUGUUGGGUNA
rnacentral:rRNA from 1 species